AAGGCGACGAUGGUUAGCUGGUCUGAGAGGAUGAUCAGCCACACUGGAACUGAGACACGGUCCAGACUCCUACGGGAGGCAGCAGUGAGGAAUCUUGCGCAAUGGGGGAAACCCUGACGCAGCAACGCCGCGUGAGUGAGGAAGGUUUUCGGACCGUAAAGCUCUGUCGAGCGGGAAGAAAUGCAUAGUGGCUAAUAUCCAUUAUGCUUGACGGUACCGCUAAAGGAAGCACCGGCUAACUCCGUGCCAGCAGCCGCGGUAAUACGGGGGGUGCUAGCGUUGUUCGGAAUCAUUGGGCGUAAAGAGCGUGUAGGCGGCUGGAUAAGUCAGAUGUGAAAGCCCUGGGCUUAACCCAGGAAGUGCAUUUGAAACUGUUCAGCUUGAGUAAGGGAGAGGAAAGUGGAAUUCCUGGUGUAGAGGUGAAAUUCGUAGAUAUCAGGAGGAACACCGGUGGCGAAGGCGACUUUCUGGCCCUAUACUGACGCUGAGACGCGAGAGCGUGGGUAGCAAACAGGAUUAGAUACCCUGGUAGUCCACGCUGUAAACGAUGUUCACUAGGUGUUGGGGGUAUUGACCCUCUCAGUGCCGCAGCUAACGCA
rnacentral:rRNA from 1 species